GCCGGCGUAGCUCAGCUGGUAGAGCAGCUGAUUCGUAAUCAGCAGGUCGCGGGUUCAAGUCCCAUCGCCGGCUCCA
rnacentral:tRNA from 1 species